rnacentral:rRNA from 1 species
AUUGAACGCUGGCGGCAUGCCUUACACAUGCAAGUCGAACGGUAACAGGUCUUCGGAUGCUGACGAGUGGCGAACGGGUGAGUAAUACAUCGGAACGUGCCUAGUAGUGGGGAAUAACUACUCGAAAGAGUGGCUAAUACCGCAUGAGAUCUACGGAUGAAAGCAGGGGGUCGCAAGACCUUGUGCUACUAGAGCGGCCGAUGGCAGAUCAGGUAGUUGGUGGGAUAAAAGCUUACCAAGCCGACGAUCUGUAGCUGGUCUGAGAGGACGAUCAGCCACACUGGGACUGAGACACGGCCCAGACUCCUACGGGAGGCAGCAGUGGGGAAUUUUGGACUAUGGGCGAAAGCCUGAUCCAGCAAUGCCGCGUGCAGGAUGAAGGCCUUCGGGUUGUAAACUGCUUUUGUACGGAACGAAAAGCCCCGGGUUAAUACCCUGGGGUCAUGACGGUACCGUAAGAAUAAGCACCGGCUAACUACGUGCCAGCCGCCGCAGUAA